rnacentral:misc_RNA from 1 species
AGUCGGCGAUUUCUUUUCGUUCUUCUCCCUCUACUGUCAUCGUGCUCUGCGCGUCUGCCGCUGCUGCUGCGGCGUGCCUGCGCACACCCGCACAGGUUCGCACCUUCACCUCUUCAUGUACAGUCGUUAGCCGUAUCGCUUCACGCACGCGCACUCUCCACCCAGGCUCGGCUCCAUCUCAAGUGCGCCGCGCCGCGCGUCCCCUCCCCUCGCUCUCUCCGUUAGGCACACCGCACAUGCACUUCUCUACGUUGUGCUUCAUAUACAUCUAUGUAUACAUCUCGGUGUCUUUCGCUCUCUCCUUCUUCCUUCGCUUCGGUUCUUGUGUGCUUUAGUGUGCCUCGCGGAUUCCGCACUCCCUCGCUCGUGGCCUCCUCCUCACCUGCCCCUCGCCCCCAAGUACGGGCGCACACGGGCAUUCCAGAGACGUCCGGGGUCACAGCGGCGGUGCGUUGUUGUCACUAAUGGGGAAUCGCACAAGUCACGAGCAGCCGACGGCAACCGGCGUCACCGACAUCGAGCUGCGCCUCGCCCCACACAACUUCUACCUCGUCUUCGGCAAGCCGUCCAUCCAGUUUGCGCGUGACCGUGUGCGAGGGCCACUCAUAUAUGACGUGGAAGUGGAGUAUGACGACGAUGAGAACCUUGUUGAGCGCGCAACGAUGCUGGACCUCACGUGUGCGGUGCCACGUCGGCAGAAAAUUGAGCUGAUUAGCGCACCAUUGGCGUCACCACAAGCUGUUGGUGCCUCCAAGGGGCUUGCGCUCACGUUCCAGAUCGCGGCGACGCAGCCGCCGGAGCGGGUGCGCGUGUACGCUGGUGCGUCGGUGGAGUACCGCGCCCGCGAUGGUGUACGGCUGAAGACCAGCGGUGGUGUGGCGGCGGGGUCGGUUUGCAUCCUGGAUACCACCGAGACGGACGGUCUCACAACAGUCGUCACCAACCCCCUAGUACUGCCGCAGCUGCUCCAGCCUCUCAAGUACGAGGAAACUGCCAGCACGCUCGCAACCUCAACGGUGCAGCGAGUAUCCUACGCCCCGCUCGCCAUCGAGGUGCUUGUUGGGGCGACGGAGGACCCAAUCAAUAAGACGCAACAAUGUGCCCCUGCAGACAAAGCCGCGCACGAGGCGACGCCGCCACGGUCACAGCCGCUGCAGCCCAGCAAGAGAGAGAUUGUGCAGUACACCUUUCUGGAGGCACCGGAGGAGGCCUCCCCACAGCCAGCGUCUUCGCUCGGUGGCAGCGAAGCUCGAGCGGCCCAUCGCUUCACCUGCAAGGUGGCGAAGCAGCUGCUCCAGGUAGGGAACGAGGUUUACGAUUUAGAGGACGUCUUCGACGACGGCCGCGAGGACGCCGUGCGCGACCCCGGCGAGGAUGAGGAGAGUGAAGAGGGGCUCUGCGUGAUUUGCCUGACGAACCAGAAGGACACCACCAUCCUGCCCUGCCGUCACAUGUGUCUAUGCAACGAGUGUGCUGCACACCUGCGCCUCAGCGACAACCGAUGCCCUCUGUGCCGCGGCUAUAUCGAUCGCGUCAUGACGCUUUAGCGCGAGCGCGGCCUUUAGAUCGUAGGCUCAGCCUCCUCCUCCUCCUUCCCCUCUCUUUUUUCUCCCUUGCACCGUCUGCUCCACCUCCCUCUCUCUCUCUUGAUGUUCACGCCGCCAACGCGCAUAGUGCCGGCGCCUUGCACAUGCGGGCAUGUACAGUUUGGUUUCCGUUUCUCUGUUGUUCUCCUUUCACAUCGCCUCGUGAUAUGCGCGCACGCGUCUUCUGCGGAUGCGUGUGCGGCAUCGAUGUCUCUGGGGCGUCUGUGGCUGCUUUGGGGGCAGCCACGUCGCCGGUGCUUAUACUUUGUUUUUGUGCAUUUCUUCGCCAUGAUGUCGCUUUUUAGCCUCGGCUACUUUACCGCCUGUGCCGCUUCCCUCGUUUCCAUGUCCACGCAGUUGUGGGGAGCGCCGUUUUUCUUUUCGCCAUGUUGUAACAUCGACCUCGAUGGACUCCUCGCCCUUUGCCCUUAUACAUGUGUGUAAUGUAUGUAUGCACCGUCUGCCUCAUGCUCCCGCACGGGAAGAGGGACGCAUAGCGUCUGGCUCG